GAUGAACGCUGGCGGCGUGCCUAAUACAUGCAAGUCGAGCGAACAGACGAUGAGCUUGCUCCUCUGACGUUAGCGGCGGACGGGUGAGUAACACGUGGAUAACCUACCUAUAAGACUGGGAUAACUUCGGGAAACCGGAGCUAAUACCGGAUAAUAUAUUCAACCGCAUGGUUCAAUAGUGAAAGACGGUUUUGCUGUCACUUAUAGAUGGAUCCGCGCCGGAUUAGCUAGUUGGUAAGGUAACGGCUUACCAAGGCGACGAUGCGUAGCCGACCUGAGAGGGUGAUCGGCCACACUGGAACUGAGACACGGUCCAGACUCCUACGGGAGGCAGCAGUGGGGAAUCUUGCGCAAUGGGCGAAAGCCUGACGGAGCAACGCCGCGUGAGUGAUGAAGGUCUUCGGAUCGUAAAACUCUGUUAUUAGGGAAGAACAAAUGUGUAAGUAACUAUGCACGUCUUGACGGUACCUAAUCAGAAAGCCACGGCUAACUACGUG
rnacentral:rRNA from 1 species